rnacentral:rRNA from 1 species
UACGUAGGUGGCAAGCGUUGUCCGGAAUUACUGGGCGUAAAGGGCGUGCAGGCGGUCUGUUAAGUUCAGGGUGAAAGCUCCCGGCUCAACUGGGAGAGGUCCUUGGAUACUGGCAGACUUGGGGGAGGUAGAGGAGAGUGGAAUUCCCGGUGUAGUGGUGAUAUGCGUAGAUAUCGGGAGGAACACCAGUGGCGAAGGCGGCUCUCUGGGCCGAUACUGACGCUGAGGAGCGAAAGCGUGGGGAGCAAACAGG